AGGAUGAUAACUCCUCUUGACAAUGGCCGGUAAACAAGAGUGUCUCUCUCCGCAGCGAGCCGCCAUCUGAUUGAACUUCAUUGAAAAUUGGAGAAAACGUGGUGUUUGUACAAGAUUAUUUAUAUCCGAGGAUGCGGCGAAAAGCCGCCACUGUCACGAAGAGACGGCUGGGCUCACUUUCGGCCGCGAGGUGCAAAUGUUUGAAAAGAGGCUUCUUCCAAGGCCGGGAAAUCACUUAGAUGUUUUUGUGAAGCCUCCUCUGCAUCUA